GUUAGCUGUGGCUGAAACUAGCUAACAUAACACUGGCUUGACUUAGCUAGAAGGUAGACUCGCGUUAUGAGAAUGACUUAACGCCAGCGUCGUUAGAUUAACGUUAACGUCAGCUACAUUAUAAUCGAUUUGUUUUGCACUUAAAGUUAACGGUUGGUCAUGGCUAGCGAUAGCUAAUUUAACGCGCUAACAUAUAGUUUAGCAUAGUAGCGUUUCAGUCGUCAUCUUACUGCUUCCCCUGCACCAACAAACUGGUCGGUAGCCUGCAGUUACAGGGCAUUGUGCGGUAUGUAGCCAUGGCAUGCUAACCACCCAUCAGGACAGUUGGUUACUGGUCAUAGCACAUGCCAGUUCUGGCUGACCAUAUAGUCAUGAUAUGAGGAAUUAUAGAGAUAGCUAGCGUUGUUAUGAAUAACAGCCAGGUUUAAAUUGCUUUGACACCAGAAUUCUACAGACGACAGGGCCUUGCGGUUUUGCAGUGGGUCUAACGUUACAUUUCGUUAGCUAGGUUGUCUAACGUCAACUCAGUCGCCUGAUUGAGGAUGUUUUUUCAAAACAAGUAAAGUUAGCAAAGUUUGGAGAGCAACAAUGUAACACAACUGAGCUGGUUAGCCAUUUUAAGUUCAUGAAUUAGUGGCGGGCAGCGUUAGCUAACAAAAUGAACAAUUCGGGAGUCUUGCCACAAGAAAAGAUGGAGCUGGAUCUGGAAAUCCCAUCUUCGUUAGCUCAGGGCGAUGGACACUUGAGGAGAUCCAACAGUGCACCCAUGAUACAUGGCUUAAGUGAUAACUCCCAGGUGUUCCAGAGAGAGGUCCUGCGUAGCCGGAGAAAUAGCACCACAGUUGUCAACAGGCCCAACAUGGUCCCGUCAUCACCUGUCCGCGUCCCCAGCACCAGACUUCAUCAGAUAAAACAAGAGGAGGGUGUGGAUGUGAUGAACAGAGAAACUGCUCAUGAGCGGGAGGUUCAAACUGCCAUGCAAAUGAGCCAGUCCUGGGAAGAAAGCCUGAGUCUGAGUGACAAUGAUUUGGAGAAGUCGGCAUCUUCGUCUCCAAAGCGCAUCGACUUUGUGCCUGUGUCGCCUGCGCCAUCUCCAACCAGAGGGAUAGGAAAAAAGCAGUGUUUCUCUCCUUCACUACAAAUCCUUGUGAGCAGCAAUGGCCUAACACCCAGCCCAGUACCCAGCCCAACACGACGCUUCAGCCGACGGAGUCAAAGCCCAAUCAACUGCAUCAGAGCCAGCAUACUUGGGCCAAUGAAACGCAAAGGCGAGAUGGAGACGGAGAGUCAGCCUAAGAGGCUCUUCCAGGGCACCACCACCAUGCUGUCCUCUGAUGUCUCCAACCUGUCAGAGCUCAGUUCCUGGUAAGACUUUGUGGAUCGACACAAAAUGUCAGAACAACCGUUCAAAAGCACACUGUUUAGUCACUCUCCAGAUUUGCUGGACGGCAGCCUCAGCAGCGUCGGAUCCUCCACAGACUCGCCAGGCAAAAUGGAGGGAGUGUCGCCCUCCUCGUCCAGCAACUCGCCCUUUGCUUCCCUCCAGGAUUUGUCCCCAAAGUGAGCACGGGAUAGCAAGAGACACUAUAAGGGACUAUGGCCAAAAAUUCUCUCUCCAGGAAACCAGUUUCCUUGCGAGACCUUCCAUCUCAGCAUCACCUAGAUUUAAAUGGAAGUUUCCAUGUUUGUUUCUGAGCGGCCGUUUUCAUGCCUACAUUUUGGAGGGUGUAAGAUAUUUUUGAAUUAAGGAAACGAAAGCCAUGGAUUAGUUUUAGUGUGGAAGAGGUAAGCCUAGUGAAACUAGCGAUGACUGAAGACACUGGGCACCAGCUGCUAGUAGAGGAUCUUGGAUGGUGCUUGGCUCCAUAGUGAUGGUGUUCAUAAGUGGCUAUGCUUUUGUCCUACCAGUUCCCCUCGCUACAGAGAGACAUUAAGCACUGGACAUAAGAAAAGAAAAAAAAAAAAGACUAUUUUGGAUGUGUACAUUUUUCCUGUUUUUGUGCUGGAGAACUUCUGUCCACGGGCCUUUGUAUGUAUACAGUCUACAUAUUUUGUAAGAAAAUAUUUAACUUAUUGUUUUCCUGCUUUGUUUGUAAUUAUGUACAUAUUAACAUUGUCGAAUGUCGUACAUAGUUUUAAGUUUGAUCGGCUGUGAGGUGAACGUGGGCACAGGUCAACAGCAAAUGCUGUCUUUGUAAAGGAACAAACUACUUCUGGUGUACACCUGUGGAUAUUUCCUUACGGUUAUACUGUAAGAGAAGUUAUGUUGUCAGCAGAUUUUCUUAUUUUUAUAUGGGCGCUGCACUGUGGUGAUUUUUUUUUUUUUUUCCCCCUUUCAGUUUGACUUGUAUGCCCCCUUACCCAUGGCCUGCUGCAACUUUAAAUGCCUAGUAUGAGCAAUGAAUGCACCAAGCAGUUAAUCGUGGAUGUAAUAAGAUCACUGUUGUGCUCUCAACACUAAGGGUUGUUCUGUAUCCUGUGUUUUUGUCAGGAUGUUUUUGUAGAUGAGCAGAGUAUAGAAAUGAUUCAGUUUUCUUUCAACUUGGGAAAUGUUCUUGUUUUUGGAAAAAAACGUUUAUUCUAAGAUUUGAUUGGUGAUAGGUUUCUAUCCCCAGUUAAAAUGAACCAUUUGUGUUGUCAUUUACACAAAUCAAGUGACUGCUGGAACAUGCAGUACAAACAAAAUGGCACUGUCGCAU